AUUGAACGCUGGCGGCAUGCCUUACACAUGCAAGUCGAGCGAAGCGAUCUGAUGGAAGUUUUCGGAUGGAAGUCAGAUUGACUGAGCGGGCGACGGGUGAAGGUACGCGUGGUAACCUGCCUCAUAUAGGGGGAUAACAGUUAGAAAUGGCUGCUAAUACCGCAUAAGCACACAGGACCGCAUGGUCCGGUGUGAAAAACUCCGGUGGUAUGAGAUGGACCCGCGUCUGAUUAGCUAGUUGGUAAGGUAACGGCUUACCAAGGCGACGAUCAGUAGCCGACCUGAGAGGGUGACCGGCCACAUUGGGACUGAGACACGGCCCAA
rnacentral:rRNA from 1 species